rnacentral:misc_RNA from 1 species
GAUGAAACGUAGCGAAAUGCGAUACUUGGUGUGAAUUGCAGAAUCCCGUGAACCAUCGAGUCUUUGAACGCAAGUUGCGCCCGAAGCCAUCAGGUUGAGGGCACGUCUGCCUGGGCGUCACAUAUCGUUGCCCAAUGCCUAUUGCAGUGCAAUAGGAAUUUCUAGGGCGAAUGAUGGCUUCCCGUGAGCGUUGUUGCCUCGCGGUUGGUUGAAAAUCGAGUCCUUGGUAGGGUGUGCCAUGGUAGAUGGUGGUCGAGUUAGAACGAUACCGAUCAUGUGCAUGCUCCCCAAAAUAUGGCCUCUAUGACCCACACGCGUCUUUUGACGCUCAUGACGAGACCUCAGGUCAGGCGGGGCUACCCGCUGAAUUUAAGCAUAUCAAUAAGCGGAGGA